rnacentral:rRNA from 1 species
UACGAAGGGGGCUAGCGUUGUUCGGAAUCACUGGGCGUAAAGGGCGCGUAGGCGGCCUGUUAAGUCGAACGUGAAAUCCCCGGGCUCAACCCGGGAACUGCGUCCGAUACUGGCAGGCUUGAAUCCGGGAGAGGGAUGCGGAAUUCCAGGUGUAGCGGUGAAAUGCGUAGACAUCUGGAGGAACACCGGUGGCGAAGGCGGCAUCCUGGACCGGCAUUGACGCUGAGGCGCGAAAGCCAGGGGAGCAAACGGG